AUGAUAGAUCUGAAGAAGGCUAAGACUAGAAUCAAGGAACUGGAGGAAGAACUCAAGGCUACACGUGAAGAUUAUGAAGAAGAAAUUGAAGUAUUGGUGGAGAAAAAUGACGACCUGAUCAAGAAGAUUGGAAUAUUUAUGGGAGGCCCUACACCAGUAGAUGAAGACGAAGAACUCCAGGAGAUUAGCCCGGAAGACUACAUCAUCAUCGACGGAACCGACUCGGAAGCAGAUAGUAGCGAUGAUGACUAUGUUGAUGAAGCUGGAGCAGAUAUCAUGGAGUCUGCAACCGAAGAAUAUUUCUAG
rnacentral:rRNA from 1 species